CGGCGGACGGGUGAGUAAUGCUUGGGAAUAUGCCUUGUGGUGGGGGACAACAGUUGGAAACGACUGCUAAUACCGCAUGAUGUCUACGGACCAAAGUGGGGGACCUUCGGGCCUCACGCCUUAAGAUUAGCCCAAGUGGGAUUAGCUAGUUGGUGAGGUAAUGGCUCACCAAGGCGACGAUCCCUAGCUGGUCUGAGAGGAUGAUCAGCCACACUGGGACUGAGACACGGCCCAGACUCCUACGGGAGGCAGCAGUGGGGAAUAUUGCACAAUGGGCGCAAGCCUGAUGCAGCCAUGCCGCGUGUGUGAAGAAGGCCUUCGGGUUGUAAAGCACUUUCAGUAAGGAGGAAAGGUUAAGUGUUAAUAGCACUUAGCUGUGACGUUACUUACAGAAGAAGCACCGGCUAACUCCGUGCCAGCAGCCGCGGUAAUACGGAGGGUGCGAGCGUUAAUGGGAAUUACUGGGCGUAAAGCGUACGCAGGCGGUUUGUUAAGCGAGAUGUGAAAGCCCCGGGCUCAACUUGGGAACUGCAUUUCGAACUGCCAAACUAGAAUUGUGAUAGAGGGUGGUAGAAUUUCAGGUGUAGGCGGUGAAAUGGGUAGAGAUCUGAAGGAAUACCGGAUGGGGAAGGCACCCACCUGGGUCAACACUGACGUUCAUGUACGAAAGCGUGGGGAGC
rnacentral:rRNA from 1 species